rnacentral:rRNA from 1 species
UACGAAGGGGGCUAGCGUUGCUCGGAAUUACUGGGCGUAAAGCGCACGUAGGCGGCUCUUUAAGUCGGGGGUGAAAUCCUGGAGCUCAACUCCAGAACUGCCUUCGAUACUGUAGAGCUUGAGUUCGGGAGAGGUGAGUGGAACUGCGAGUGUAGAGGUGAAAUUCGUAGAAUAUUCGCAAGAACACCAGUGGCGAAAGGCGGCUCACUGGCCCGAUACUGACGCUGAGGCGCGAAAGCGUGGGGAGCAAAACAGG